rnacentral:lncRNA from 1 species
CACUGUAGCCAGGAGCGGGCUUUGUCCUGUCUGGGGAAGAAAGAGCCGGUGUUUAUCCUUCACGCACUCAUCCGCGAGAUCACUGCUCCAUCCUGACCCAGUCUGAGUCCUGGACAGCCCCUCUGGCCCCUGUUCCGGCCGAGGCGGAGGGGACACUGAGAAGCGGGCGGCGGGCAGGAGAGGCGGCCCGGCACCCCUGAGGAUGCCCCGGGUGUUUGGGGGCUGGGGAUAAAAGGCCGUUCCCGCCAGCCUUCCCGCAGUCUCAGGAAGGACCCCGUCACAGGUGCACAGCCCCCGCGUAUCUGUUCAGCGUCCUGCUUCCGCACCCUCUCGUCCCUCCAUCCUACGCUUAAUAAAAGAGCAUGCUUGAUAUCAUCACCUGAAGUCUGUCUUGUUCCUUUAAAUGUUUGCUUCAGUUUUGUGUUUUGCUUUUUUGUUUUGUGUGUGUGUGUGUUUUUUUUUUUUUUUUAGAAAAGCAAUCUAGAGGAAAAAAUAAAGCGCUUCUUGUAGACGCCAGGAAAACACCAUUCGCGUGUCUUCUCUGAGUCUGUUUUGUUUUUGUGCUUUGUGGCUGUCCGUGGGCCGAGUUGUCUCACGCGAUUAGCAUGCCAGCAUCAUAUUUUCUGUUGAAGAGAGAAAGAGAGAGAAAAAUGACUGUUGUUAAAUUUCUCCUUAAGAAGUUUUGUUAUUACGCACGGUGGGCCAUUUCAGUUCUCACGGUGUGUUCCCCAUGUGAUG